rnacentral:lncRNA from 1 species
AAUUAGUUGUGAAAUUUUGUCGAGCAUGCUCAGACUGAGUUAGUCAAGAGUGAAAAAAUUCGUUUAUCUCGAUAUUGGAUCUGGAAAAUAUCAGAAAACUCGAUCACUUUUAAUUAAUUAAUUGAUGUCUGGCCGUUUUUGGGUGUCAUUGUUUACUUUCAUAUUGAAGCAACAAUUGUGAGGUCAGUGGCGCUUUUGAAAAAUUUCAUGAAACAAGAUAACGAAGAAUUUCGUCAAAUAUUUCAUUAGCUACAACGAAAUAUAUUUCAUCAGACAGAAAUAAAUCGACUCGCCCACGAUUCAAAA